CUACGGGUUAGGGUUAAUCCGGCUAUGCAGGCCUUAAAAUAUCGGUCGGUCAUGGACAUUGUCCGACCAUUAGUGAAAUUGUCUGACGUAGAGAGGAAACCACCAGACAUUCUGUCCGACCAAAGUGAAAUUGAGGUUUAUUGUUUGUCCGACCUGAGUGUAUUUCUGCCCGACCGAACUGUAACUUUGACCAACGUAAAUCAAAAUGUACCCUAUCCCAGGACUAGAGGCUCGUAUGUUAAAUGGAAAAUCCGAGUACUAUAGACCUUAUUCAUAAAUCGUGAUGAGGCCUCGUAUCCUAGGAAACGGGGAAAACGCGGGGAAGCUCUGCAGCUUAAUGGGUUAAAUUAGGGUAUGUAAGUGCUAAUGGUAACUGAGACAUGCACACACAGUCUGUUAAUCCAUCACAACAUCACAUCUUAAUGGGUUCAUGGAAUACCGUAAAUCUCGAACUAUAAACCCUGGGCUAUAUAUUUAUAUUUCAGUACACACCGUGCACGCGUGUUUUCCAAAAUCGGCGUAGGGUGUGUUAUCUAACACACCAAGAUGUGUUUUGCAAAUUAGUAUGAGGUGUGUUCUCGAACACACCAAGGUGUGUUUUCAUUCAAAAGGUGUGUUAUUGAACACACCUUAUAUGCAUCAAAGGUGUGUAAGAAAAGGUGUGUAAAAUACAGGUGUGUUUCUUAGCACACCUAGGUGUGUUUUGUUACACACCAUAGUGUGUUUUCUAACACAUCAUGGUGUGUUUUCUAACACACAAAGGUGUGUUUUCUAAAAUUGUAUAGGAAGGUGUGUAAAAUGUACACACCUUGGUGUGUAAUUAAACACACCUUGGUGUGUAAUUAAACACACCUUGGUG